UACGAAGGGGGCUAGCGUUGCUCGGAAUCACUGGGCGUAAAGGGUGCGUAGGCGGGUCUUUAAGUCGGGGGUGAAAUCCUGGAGCUCAACUCCAGAACUGCCUUCGAUACUGUAGAGCUUGAGUUCGGGAGAGGUGAGUGGAACUGCGAGUGUAGAGGUGAAAUUCGUAGAUAUUCGCAAGAACACCAGUGGCGAAGGCGGCUCACUGGCCCGAUACUGACGCUGAGGUGCGAAAGCGUGGGGAGCAAACAGG
rnacentral:rRNA from 1 species